AGCUCAAAUAGUGUAUAUUAAAGUUGUUUGAGUUAAAAAGCUCGUAGUUGGAUUUCUGGUAGGAGUAGUGACUAUGGGUCUUUGACCUAUGAAGUUGCUAUCUUCAACCAUUAUUGAAGAGAUUUAGUUUGGCAUUAAGUUGUCGAGCUAAAGAUAUUCAUCUUUUACUGUGAAAAUAUCAGAACGUUCAAAGUAAGCAUUUAGCUUUGAAUGUAUUAGCAUGGAAUAAUGAAAUAUGACUUAGGUACUACUUUGUUGGUUUAUGCACCUACGUAAUGAUUAAUAGGGAUAGUUGGGGGUAUUCGUAUUCCAAUGUUAGAGGUGAAAUUCUUGGAUUUUUGGAGGACGAACACCUGUGAAAACAUUUACCAAGGAUUUUUUUA
rnacentral:rRNA from 1 species